ACAGGGAUUGCCCUAGUAACGGCGAGUGAAGCGGCAACAGCUCAAAUUUGAAAUCUGGCUUCGGCCCGAGUUGUAAUUUGUAGAGGAAGCUUUAGGCGCGGCACCUUCUGAGUCCCCUGGAACGGGGCGCCAUAGAGGGUGAGAGCCCCGUAUAGUUGGAUGCCUAGCCUGUGUAAAGCUCCUUCGACGAGUCGAGUAGUUUGGGAAUGCUGCUCAAAAUGGGAGGUAAAUUUCUUCUAAAGCUAAAUACCGGCCAGAGACCGAUAGCGCACAAGUAGAGUGAUCGAAAGAUGAAAAGCACUUUGAAAAGAGGGUUAAAUAGCACGUGAAAUUGUUGAAAGGGAAGCGCUUGUGACCAGACUUGCGCCGGGCUGAUCAUCCGGUGUUCUCACCGGUGCACUCUGCCCGGCUCAGGCCAGCAUCGGUUCUCGCGGGGGGAUAAAGGCCCAGGGAAUGUAGCUCCUCCGGGAGUGUUAUAGCCCGGGGCGCAAUGCCCUCGCGGGGACCGAGGUUCGCGCUCUGCAAGGAUGCUGGCGUAAUGGUCAUCAGCGACCCGUCUUGAAACACGGACCAAGGAGUCAAGGUUUUGCGCGAGUGUUUGGGUGUAAAACCCGCACGCGUAAUGAAAGUGAACGUAGGUGAGAGCUUCGGCGCAUCAUCGACCGAUCCUGAUGUUUUCGGAUGGAUUUGAGUAAGAGCGUUAAGCCUUGGACCCGAAAGAUGGUGAACUAUGCUUGGAUAGGGUGAAGCCAGAGGAAACUCUGGUGGAGGCUCGCAGCGGUUCUGACGUGCAAAUCGAUCGUCAAAUCUGAGCAUGGGGGCGAAAGACUAAUCGAACCAUCUAGUAGCUGG
rnacentral:rRNA from 1 species